rnacentral:rRNA from 1 species
GUCGUAACAAGGUUUCCGUAGGUGAACCUGCGGAAGGAUCAAUUACACGAUACAUCAAUUUCAAACUCUUGCAACUUAACUUCGUGAUGUCUAACCUAAUCUUUUUUCAAUCUUGAUCUGAGUCUAUUGUAAAAAAGUUUCUUACAACUUUUAGCGAUGGAUGUCUCGGCUCGAACAACGAUGAAGGACGCCGCAAAAUGCGAUAAGCGUUGUGAAUGGCAGAAUUCCGCGAAUCAAAAGAAAGCUGAACGCAUACUGCACUCUCAGGAUUCCCCUGAGAGUAUGCUUGGUUCAGAACGUUUACAUUAUCAUGUCGCGAAAUAAGAUUUGCAUAACGCAGUCGUGUUUCGCUGAUGUUUUCGUGUGUCAGUGACGGGUUGUCUCUCUUGAGGCAAGAUUCCAUUGACGCAUUAGAUCAACUAGCAAGUGCACAGGAUUAGAUCUUCUGUCCGGCGAUAUUUUCGAAUACUCAUUGGCAGAUUCUCAAUUCUGAGCAUGGUGAAAUUGCUAGGUGAAAGCGUAAAUUUUCAAUUGCGUAUGAACUCAAGUAAGGCUACCCGCUGAAUUUAAGCAUAUAAGUAAGCGGAGGACAAGAAAAUGAACAUGAUUCCGUUAGUAAGGGCGACUGAACCCGGAACAGCUCAAAAUGCUAAUCCAGACCUCUGGUCUUGAAUUGUAGUCUUGAGAUUCUUUUCCAGCUCGAUCUCCUGCGUAAGUCUUUUUGGAAGAAAGCAUCAUAGAGGGUGAGAAUCCCGUUCACGUGGAGAGAUUUGGGCAUACGGAGGGACUUCGUAGAGUCGCGUACUUUGGACGUGGUGCGCAAAAUGGGAGGUAAUUUUCUUCCAAAGCUAAAUAUAGGUUCGAGACCGAUAGCAAACAAGUACCGUGAGGGAAAGAUGAAAAGUACUUUGGAAAGAGGGUUAAAAGUGCCUGAAAUCGCUAAGAGGGAAGCGAAUGAAACCAGUUUCUUUUUACGAGAUUGUUGUAGGCUAAGGUGAAUAUCUGUACCGCAAGGGCAGUGAUUUGAUCUGGACGUCUGCAGUGCUUCUCGUGGGAAGUCGCCAUCGUGUUUCGGGUGAUCGGAUAAUAUCUCGUUUCAUUAUAGGUUUGCUCCUGUGAUCCAUAGUGUUUCGUUGAGGUCCUUUCUCCGAUACAGGAAUGCGGUUGGUCUUCAAUGCGUCAUAAGCUGGGUGAAGGUUUUGCAGACUCCCAGAGUGUGUAUCUCCGAUCCUUGAUGAGGCGUAAUAGGGCUGAUCCACGACGAUGGCUAAAUGGUUUUUUUCUACCCGUCUUGAAACACGGACCAAGGAGUCGACCUCUAUCGCAAGUGUGCGGGUGGCAAACCUGUACGCGGAAUGAAAGUAACAGAUUGGAUUUUUUUGUUUUGCACAAUCGACCGACUUCGAUCUAUUGAGAGAGGUUUGAGUAUGAGCGAUAAGGGUCGGACCCGAAAGAUGGUGAACUAUGCGUGA